AGAGUUUGAUCCUGGCUCAGAAUCAACGCUGGCGGCGCGCUUAACACAUGCAAGUCGCACGAGAAAGUGGAGCAAUCCAUGAGUAAAGUGGCGUACGGGUGAGUAACACGUGGAUCAUCUACCUCUUAGUGGGGAAUAACCCUGGGAAACCGGGGCUAAUACCGCAUAAGCCUGAAAAGGGAAAGCAGCAAUGCGCUGAGAGAGGAGUCCGCGGCCGAUUAGCUAGUUGGUAGGGUAAUGGCCUACCAAGGCAAUGAUCGGUAGCCGGCCUGAGAGGGCACACGGCCACACUGGCACUGAAACACGGGCCAGACUCCUACGGGAGGCAGCAGUGGGGAAUCUUGCACAAUGGAGGAAACUCUGAUGCAGCGACGCCGCGUGAGCGAUGAAGCCCUUCGGGGUGUAAAGCUCUUUCGACGGGAACGAUAAUGACGGUACCCGGAGAAGAAGCUGCGGCUAACUACGUGCCAGCAGCCGCGGUAAUACGUAGGCAGCAAGCGUUGUUCGGAAUUACUGGGCGUAAAGAGUGUGUAGGCGGUUCUCUAUGUUCGGUGUGAAAUCUCCCGGCUUAACUGGGAGGGUGCGCCGAAAACUGGAGGGCUUGAGUAUGGGAGAGGAAAGCGGAAUUCCUGGUGUAGCGGUGAAAUGCGUAGAUAUCAGGAGGAACACCUGCGGUGUAGACGGCUUUCUGGACCAUCACUGACGCUGAGACACGAAAGCGUGGGUAGCAAACAGGAUUAGAUACCCUAGUAGUCC
rnacentral:rRNA from 1 species